rnacentral:lncRNA from 1 species
UAGCUUUUGAGUAGGAGGCAGUUUAAUAUGGGCACAUAUUUUUUCCGAAAUUGUCAAUACUGCCCCCUAGCCCCAACAGGUGGGUCAGUGGGGUUGUUAGGGAUGGUGAGGGGCUGCAGCUUUUCUCUAGGAGUCUCUACAGUCUGCUCUCUGUGCUGCAGCACAACUCCUUUGCCAUCUCCUCCUUUACCUGUACCAGCUCUCUCCUCAUGGUGGCAUUUACCUCCUUAAGCGCUGUGUAUACUGACCCGUUCAGUGGAGAGAGACAUGGGGGCUGCGGGAGGCGCGAAGCGUCGCACAGAGCGGUGAAGUCAAGAUAAAACUAAAAGAGUAACGCAUGAUUCCUCAGAACAGCUGACACACCCAUAAAGUGCUAUAAUUGAAAAUGUAAAUGAGGAGGUGGAUGAAGACAUGCGAGUGCUCGGGCCCUUGCUCUGCUCAUCUGUCUGCGAGGCGCUACCUGGAUUGUGGAUUCUAAGGUUCAUUAAAAAAUGAAGUAAUUAAUGCGUUUGUCAGCACUCUCUUUCUCUUCUCCUGCAGCCAGACUGCACAAAUCAAGCCUUUCUGACUCCGCUGCCCCGGGACCAAUCAGAGACAGAUCUGGGACUGAUACACAUCCUCACACCUUCACCACUUUUGUUUUCAGAGCAGUCUACUCCAAUUUAAAAGAACAUUAGAUGGAUAACCACAAUGCUGGGCAGAGAUUUUUUCUGGAGAAUCCCACUUUUGUUUGUACAGGAUUUGCUCUCGCCUCCUUUGAAGGACAGACUUCAAUAGUUGAAAAAAAUGAAAUAAAUUGUCAACGGUGUGCGUACUGGGAGCGGAGUCAGGUGCAGGAGAGCAGAGAGUUGUGAACAGGCACACACUUUAUUUAGGCAGGAGAAACCAACAGACGGACACCACUGCGUCAAAACUGUCACGAUUCCCAC